rnacentral:rRNA from 1 species
CCUACGGGAGGCAGCAGUGGGGAAUUUUGGACAAUGGACGAAAGUCUGAUCCAGCAAUGCCGCGUGCAGGACGAAGGCCUUCGGGUUGUAAACUGCUUUUGUACGGAACGAAACGGUCUUCUUUAAUACAGAGGGCUAAUGACGGUACCGUAAGAAUAAGCACCGGCUAACUACGUGCCAGCAGCCGCGGUAAUACGUAGGGUGCGAGCGUUAAUCGGAAUUACUGGGCGUAAAGCGUGCGCAGGCGGUUAUAUAAGUCAGAUGUGAAAUCCCCGGGCUCAACCUGGGACCUGCAUUUGAGACUGUAUAGCUAGAGUACGGUAGAGGGGGAUGGAAUUCCGCGUGUAGCAGUGAAAUGCGUAGAUAUGCGGAGGAACACCGAUGGCGAAGGCAAUCCCCUGGACCUGUACUGACGCUCAUGCACGAAAGCGUGGGGAGCAAACAGGAUUAGAUACCCCAGUAGUC